GAUGAACGCUGGCGGAAUGCUUUACACAUGCAAGUCGAACGGCAGCACGGACUUCGGUCUGGUGGCGAGUGGCGAACGGGUGAGUAAUGUAUCGGAACGUGCCCAGUCGUGGGGGAUAACGUAGUGAAAAUUACGCUAAUACCGCAUACGAUCUAUGGAUGAAAGCGGGGGAUCGCAAGACCUCGCGCGAUUGGAGCGGCCGAUAUCAGAUUAGGUAGUUGGUGGGGUAAAGGCCCACCAAGCCAACGAUCUGUAGCUGGUCUGAGAGGACGACCAGCCACACUGGAACUGAGACACGGUCCAGACUCCUACGGGAGGCAGCAGUGGGGAAUUUUGGACAAUGGGCGAAAGCCUGAUCCAGCCAUUCCGCGUGCAGGAUGAAGGCCCUCGGGUUGUAAACUGCUUUUGUACAGAACGAAAAGGUUUCUACUAAUACUAGGAGCUCAUGACGGUACUGUAAGAAUAAGCACCGGCUAACUACGUGCCAGCAGCCGCGGUAA
rnacentral:rRNA from 1 species